UUCCACUUCUUUAGUGUUUUCUAAAUUUACAAAAUGCACGUUCUCUUCCAUAGGCCAAACGAGUAGUUACCAGUUAAGUGGUUGAGUUAUUUUUUUAAAAAUACGGCUUCAUCUUAAAGAUUUUGUCGUAGUCGUCUUCGCUUCGCGUGUUAGCGGAGUAACGAGGCGUCAACUGGAAAAUGACGUCUGAGGCGUAGAAAAUCGGAAUAACUGUCUUCCACGAAGAAAACAUGAAGGACACGCUAACGGUGUUAAUUCUGCUCUCCGUAUGCACAGUCGAUAAAACGUUUUGUGAUGGAACUCAAGACCUCGUUGGAUUAGGUAACAACCAGGACAGUGCAGAUGAAGGUGACAAUACAACGGAUGGAGUGUUGAAAACCGAACCCAAACAAGGUGGUUCCGAUCUGACCUUGAGUCAGUUAAGAGAGCUCGCCCAAGACACAGAGUCAGCCGUUUUCAUCGAACGGAAACACAAGAGCUUCUUGGAAUAUGAGGAAAUUUUCACAGCUAUUGUUUCAGGGGGAGUUUUGGGUGCUGCAUUUGCCACUUUGCUGGCAGGACUAUUCAUUUUCAAAUGGCACAGCUGGGACAGUGGAAGCUACACCACAGGCCAGGAAACACAUUUUUAAGCCAGUCUAUGAUUUUUCAUUCAUUUACAAAGCUCAUCUCAACAGUUUUUUUUUUUUUUUUAAAAAGGUGUUUUUGGUUUGCUGAAUUUUGUAGAUAUGUAUAUAUGUGUAUAUUUGAGAUAUAUAUUAAAAGUAUAAUUUUUUUUACCUUUAGAUGUGUUUCUGUAUACUAUAUAAUUUGUUUUUAAAUGUUGUUGAUCAAGCUCACUUUUUCAAAUUCACUUAUCUGACAGGGUUGUCCAAAAAAUACGUAAUAGAUUUAAUGUACCCUAAAUCCAUCCAGGUAAAAAAAAAACUUGUUUUACACACAAGGAGUUUUUGUUUUUCAGCAAUCCAUUCAUGCAUAAGAUAUUUAUUUCUGUACAACAUUUGUAUCAAUUCGGGAUGCAUUUCAACAUGCACACACAUAAUGCGAUUAUACUGUAGUUGCUUGACUGUAUAUUAUGGGAUGUUUCCAUUUUUCUCACCCGCCCUGGUCUUGCUCAAACAUAUCCACAGUAACAUACAUAGCUAGCGAUGCUGUCAGCUGCUCAUGCUUGUCUGAAAGCAGAGUCUGACAUUCUUUCUCAGUACUACGAGUGGGGCUUUUGACGGAACCCUGGCUCCGGUACGAGCUUAAUUGACCGCUGCUUUCAGAGAGCAACGUCGUGCAUUCUCUAGAAGGAGACUGAGUCGACGUCUCUUCGGGUCCAUGCGGCCUCUCGUCGUGUGCGUCAGGCUUUACGGUAAAAACAGAGCCGCUGUCUUCUUCUCGGUUGGGAUCAAGGGUGGAAGUUUGCCAGGAUUCUUCCAUGUACACGCGUGCGCAGAUGCUUUCGGAUGAAUAGUUGAAUUGCCGGAAAAGGAACAAACCCUGGGGAAGAGCAGGCCUUUGUAAUGUUUAUUUUAUAGGAAAAAAAAACAUAACAUGCCAUAAUUGAUCAAAACAGAGUAAUAAUUUUUUGUUUGUUUUUAAAUGAGACUUUUUGUCACACUGCAUCAUUGUGCUGCUCUUUCUCCCUUCAGUAUGGCACUAAUAUUAGCUGUUCUUCACAGAGGAUAAAACAUAUAUUAGUGCCAAUUUAAUACAUCAUAAUACUGCAGUCUUUCUAUUCAGCUAAAGUCACCUUUUGUUGGCCUCCUGAUGGCCACAGCGCAACGGAACUGAGGCCUGGGUUCGGAAGGGGCUCCUGCAGGAAUUUCCUGUACCUCAAGAGAGGAAACAUCUUGGCGCAGCUUGACAUCGUUCUCUGCCAAGUAUGUCCUGACGAUGGUGCCUCCGAGUACGUCCCUGGUAUGGUCGCGGUGGCACUGCACCGUGGCUUUGCGCCGCGUGACAUUCCUCAGGGACACGAUGCUAUGUGUGGAGUUGAUGGUGCUCAUCCAGCUGUGGUCCAAGACUACUCCGUCCACCGUCCAGUACACGCUACCGUGCACGCAGAAACUCUCACACACUAUCUGAGUAUCAGAUCCCACUUGGAUGUAUGGAUCUUUGGGUACGACAUUGCAUAGUUUCUUACUCUUCCCUGUGGGUGUUAGUCCACAUGGUAGAAUGUUAGCCGCUAUUCCAGAAAGAACAAUUUACAUUUUAAAGAAACUCAAUUUUUAAAACAGUCAAAAAGAGGGAGCCUUUCGUUACGGAACGGAAUUUUGACAGCACUUCUGCAUUGUCGCUUAAAGCUCAAGAAAUAAAAGAUGUUCUUACCUUCUGAAACGGAGGUCGUACUAGUAGCAAUCAGAAGCAGUACACACAGAAAACAAUACAUUAUCUAGGAACUACUCCACUCAUAAGUAUUUAAAGUCGAGAAGGAUCAGUGUGAUGCAUUUUGUGACCCAUAUUCCUGUAGAUCCUCAUUUCAGCCGUCCGCCACGGAGAGAGAGACUGAGGAAA